UACGGGGGGAGCAAGCGUUGUUCGGAAUUACUGGGCGUAAAGGGCUCGUAGGUGGCCAACUAAGUCGGACGUGAAAGCCCUCGGCUUAACCGGGGAAUGGCAUCCGAUACUGGAUGGCUUGAGUUUGGGAGAGGGACGCGGAAUUCCAGGUGUAGCGGUGAAAUGCGUAGAUAUCUGGAGGAACACCGGUGGCGAAGGCGGCGUUCUGGACUAUAACUGACACUGAAAAACGAAAGCCAGGGGAGCAAACGGG
rnacentral:rRNA from 1 species